GGGGAUGUGGCUCAGCGGUGGAGCACUUGCCUGGCACGCAUGAGGCUCUGGAUUUGAUCGCCAGCAACGCAA
rnacentral:tRNA from 1 species